UUUUUUUUUUUACAGAUAAAACAUCCAUUAUUUAUUCAAGUAUAAAAAUGCAUUAAAAAAUUAUAUUCUCUUCCAUUCUAUCCAAUUCAACUUUUCUACAAAAUAAUUUUUCUAGAACAAACAAUGAAUUAUUUGAAAUGAUCACGUUAUCCUGCAUAUAAUUACCAAAUUUCCGCAAAAUAUACAACCCAAGCAAAAUCGCGUUUACGUGAUGUCAGCUGAUAACUCUAUAAAAUCACGCAUACGUGGCAACAACGAUCGUCAAGAAUAAAAACGGAGGAUCUUAUCGAUAUACGUUCGAUGAAAUUAUUAUGAUUUCUAAGGAAUCGAGGGGAUCAAUUCUUUGGACUUUCUUUCAAGUUUCUCGAAACACGCGAUUCCGGAAUUAAGAGACAGGCCCGACGUUCGUUUGGGUGAAGAUCGAUAAAAUUGCCGUGCUAAGUAUUCACGAUGCUAACGGCUCUCGCCAUCCUGGAUAAGGUGGUAAAUUUCGCUUAAAUCGAAUCUCACACGAUUCCGUGAAAGUGGAAUGAAAAAAAAAGAGGAAAAGAUAAAGGAAAGUGGAAAUCAAAGUGUGAUUUAGACGAUGAGUUGACUUUCUAACAUAUACAAUUUGUUAAUGGCAUAACGUUUGUUAAUGAAACAGAAAUCUGGAAUUAAUAUUUGAAAAUUGUGGAUUAAAAAGGAAUAAAAUAGGAAAUUUUCUUUCCUUGUUAUUUAUAUUUAUAUUUUUUAUUAUUUGAAAUACAGAAGAGAAUACUUUAACUUGUUAAAUUCAAAUUUUUCAAAAAUUUAAUAAAUUUAGGAAAUAUAAAAUUAAAAGGUUCUCGAAAAUUUUCUAGAUAUAUUUAUUUGCAGGAUACAGAAAGAAUUGACAACGAGUUGAAUUUAAAAAUUAUUAAAUAUCCUAUAAUUAAUUAUUAAUUGACACAGGAAAUAUGAUUGUUCAAUAAUUAAAAUAGAAUUUCUAGUUCUAUUUUUAAACUAGAAUAUUCUUAUUUCUAACUCUAUCAUCUGAUGAACUUAAAAUCCACGCAAUUUAUAUGCAUGAAAUUAGCAAUAUGUAGUAAUUUAUUCAUUGUGAAGUCGUAUGUUGCUCGGACAAGCAAUAAAAGCAAUAUUAGCAAGACAAAGGAAUGGUUAUUGAACGUGCAAGGGAAAAGCAGACAAAAGAGAUUAAUUUAUAGGAGUAACAAGUUCACUCAAUCAGAUUAUUAAAUUAACCGAGUGGAGAGAUAUCAAUUAACAAGAAAUUGAAUUAGUUGUGGAGUAGAUUGUUAUCUUCUGUGGAAUAUAUGAAAAUAUGAUUAUAUAAAAUUUAUCAUGAUUUA